UUUUCUCACUUCCUCAUUUUAUACUUUGAAAUCCUUUCAAUUUUCCAAUCCCAUCUUUUCCAAUCCCUAACUCUUCCCCUAGGUCCAUGACAAUACCCCAUUCUACAGUUGAUGCUUGUCCCCAAGGAUCGAAGUCUGGGAAUUUUGAUUUCAGUACUGUAAAAUCCUCUCAGGAUAAAUACAAAUUUGACCAUCAAGAUUAACCUCUGGUGGAUCUCUCGAGGGACCAUAGUAUCGAGCUGAUAGUUUGAGAUUUUUCUUGAGUGCUACUAAGGUAUAACGAUAGGGAUGGAGCUUCAUGUAAACUUCAUCUUUCUCCUGCAACUCUGUCACUUUUCCCCCGAUUUGCAUAGUGUUUCAUCCUUUGUUGUGCCUUGUCUAAUUGAUCCUGCAAAAUAUUAUUCACCUGGUACCUUUAUUGCAUUAGUUGUUGUACAUCAACUACCUUUGAAUCUGUCACCCAGGUCAUGGUAGGUGGUGUGUAGCCAUACAAAGAUGUGAAUGGUGUUGUUCUCAAAGCAAUAUGGAAAUUGGUGUCAUACCACUAUUCAGCU